rnacentral:rRNA from 1 species
UACGUAGGGGGCAAGCGUUGUCCGGAAUCAUUGGGCGUAAAGAGCGUGUAGGCGGCCCGAUAAGUCCGCUGUGAAAGUCCAGGGCUCAACCCUGGGAUGCCGGUGGAUACUGUCGGGCUCGAGUCCGGAAGAGGAGUGUGGAAUUCCCGGAGUAGUGGUGAUAUGCGUAGAGACCGGGAGGAACACCGGUGGCGAAGGCGAUCUUCUGGGCUACUCCUGACACUCAGGGACGAAAGCGUGGGGAGCGAACCGG